rnacentral:sRNA from 1 species
GCUGGGCGUGGUGGUGCAUGCCUGUAAUCCUAGCUACUCGGGAGGCUGAGACAGGAGAAUCGCUUGAACCCAGGAGGAAGAGGUUGCAGUGAGCCAAGAUCAUGCCACUGCACUCCAGCCUGGGCAACAGAGUGAGACUCUGUCUCAA